CGAAUGCUGACAUAAGUAACGAUAAAGCGGGUGAAAAGCCCGCUCGCCGGAAGACCAAGGGUUCCUGUCCAACGUUAAUCGGGGCAGGGUGAGUCGACCCCUAAGGCGAGGCCGAAAGGCGUAGUCGAUGGGAAACAGGUUAAUAUUCCUGUACUUGGUGUUACUGCGAAGGGGGGACGGAGAAGGCUAUGUUGGCCGGGCGACGGUUGUCCCGGUUUAAGCGUGUAGGCUGGUUUUCCAGGCAAAUCCGGAAAAUCAAGGCUGAGGCGUGAUGACGAGGCACUACGGUGCUGAAGCAACAAAUGCCCUGCUUCCAGGAAAAGCCUCUAAGCAUCAGGUAACAUCAAAUCGUACCCCAAACCGACACAGGUGGUCAGGUAGAGAAUACCAAGGCGCUUGAGAGAACUCGGGUGAAGGAACUAGGCAAAAUGGUGCCGUAACUUCGGGAGAAGGCACGCUGAUAUGUAGGUGAAGCGACUUGCUCGUGGAGCUGAAAUCAGUCGAAGAUACCAGCUGGCUGCAACUGUUUAUUAAAAACACAGCACUGUGCAAACACGAAAGUGGACGUAUACGGUGUGACGCCUGCCCGGUGCCGGAAGGUUAAUUGAUGGGGUCAGCGCAAGCGAAGCUCUUGAUCGAAGCCCCGGUAAACGGCGGCCGUAACUAUAACGGUCCUAAGGUAGCGAAAUUCCUUGUCGGGUAAGUUCCGACCUGCACGAAUGGCGUAAUGAUGGCCAGGCUGUCUCCACCCGAGACUCAGUGAAAUUGAACUCGCUGUGAAGAUGCAGUGUACCCGCGGCAAGACGGAAAGACCCCGUGAACCUUUACUAUAGCUUGACACUGAACAUUGAGCCUUGAUGUGUAGGAUAGGUGGGAGGCUUAGAAGUGUGGACGCCAGUCUGCAUGGAGCCGACCUUGAAAUACCACCCUUUAAUGUUUGAUGUUCUAACGUUGACCCGUGAUCCGGGUUGCGGACAGUGUCUGGUGGGUAGUUUGACUGGGGCGGUCUCCUCCUAAAGAGUAACGGAGGAGCACGAAGGUUGGCUAAUCCUGGUCGGACAUCAGGAGGUUAGUGCAAUGGCAUAAGCCAGCUUGACUGCGAGCGUGACGGCGCGAGCAGGUGCGAAAGCAGGUCAUAGUGAUCCGGUGGUUCUGAAUGGAAGGGCCAUCGCUCAACGGAUAAAAGGUACUCCGGGGAUAACAGGCUGAUACCGCCCAAGAGUUCAUAUCGACGGCGGUGUUUGGCACCUCGAUGUCGGCUCAUCACAUCCUGGGGCUGAAGUAGGUCCCAAGGGUAUGGCUGUUCGCCAUUUAAAGUGGUACGCGAGCUGGGUUUAGAACGUCGUGAGACAGUUCGGUCCCUAUCUGCCGUGGGCGCUGGAGAACUGAGGGGGGCUGCUCCUAGUACGAGAGGACCGGAGUGGACGCAUCACUGGUGUUCGGGUUGUCAUGCCAAUGGCACUGCCCGGUAGCUAAAUGCGGAAGAGAUAAGUGCUGAAAGCAUCUAAGCACGAAACUUGC
rnacentral:rRNA from 1 species